GUACUAGUUUUCCUUUACGUGUACGUUCAUGUCGUCAUUAGGUUCCUACCAUUUAAGCAUGGGCUCAUUUCUAUGUUUCAAGUACUGAGUUUUCUUAUUUUUGUUGGUUGUUGGUGCUUGUAGCUUCGAUCAGAGAAAAAUAUAGAAAAUAGACGCAGUAACAAGACAAAGCACAAAUGCGGGACGAAGUCUCUAGCAGUUAGAGUACAUGAACAUGCUCUAAAAAAUGGGGGUCAACUGCCUAAAUUGCCGGAGUUCUAUAAAUCCACUCACUAUAAUGAGGGCACGGGCGAGUGGAUUGCUCCAAAAUGCCAGACUAACUAUGAGGAAAUGGUCCGAGUAGAUGCUACACUUAAUCAGGAAGGUGCUACCCCAUUAACAGGGGAGCAGAUGUCCGUCACGGUGCUGAAACAGAGACCAGGUUAUGUGAAAGGACUUGGCUUGAGGCCUUCACCAUCUAUUAGGACCACAUCUGAAACUGCGCUGAAAAAGCACUUGGCUUGCGGCCUUCCUCCUCUGCCACGACCCAUGAAUACGUGUCAUGCCUCGAGAUGAAAAUAGAGGCACAAAAUGAGACCAUCGAGAAGCUUUUAGAGGCAAAUAGGCAGCAGCAGAAGAUAAAUGCUAGCAUGAUGGAGUUUCUCAUUGAAAAAGGGUACACUGGACAUGUUGGGAGUGCUGAAACAUCAUCUAAUGAUUGAUUGCAUGUAAGAUCGAUGUUCUUUUUGGAGUUCGUGGUUGUGGGAGAUGGAAUUCAAAGAAGGAUACGUUGCAAAAGUUGGCCCCGAGGUGGUAGUAUUUUGGAAAGAUCCAUGAUGCUUUUUGAAAAUUCUAAAGCAUAAGUAGUGGUAAACUUGAUAUUUUGUUUCCUGGGGCUAAACUUGAUAUUUUGUUUCCCGAUAGUAGUGGUAAACUUGAUAUUUUGUUUCCUAGGGCUAAACUUUGUAGUUGAAAGGAUUUGGCUAAUGUUUCACAGUAAUGACAAUUUGUUUUCUUGAAAGCUAACAGAUUUUUGUUAUUUAUGGUUAUGAUUGUCCAUGGUUGUAUGAGGUGGUGAUAGAAUCUAAACAUGAGCAGGGAAUGUAUAAAAAAUGUUUGCAAGGACUAAGGAG